GGUUUCUUGAUUAGUAUAGGAAAUUUAACCUGCCCACUGAUUAAUUUAAAGGGCCGCGGUAUUUUGACUGUGCAAAGGUAGCAUAAUCAUUAGUCCUUUAAUUGAGGACUUGUAUGAAUGGUUGGACGAGGUGAUAACUGUUUUAUAGUAAUUGGUAAAUGUUGAAGUUGAAAUUUAAGUAAAAAGACUUAAAUGAAUUUGAGGGACGAGAAGACCCUAUAGAGUUUAAUAAAUUGAUAAAGGUAAUAAGGUUAAUAAUUAAUAUUUAAUUGUUAUUAUGUAAAUUUAUUUGAUUGGGGUGAUAGAAAGAUAAUUUUAACUCUUUUUUAAUUUAAAUAUAAGUUGGUAGAAUAGGUUAUGAUCCAUUGAAAUUAAUUAAAUAUGAUAAAAAGAUAAAAUUACCUUAGGGAUAACAGCAUAAUUUUUUUUGAGAGUUCUUAUUGAAAAAGAAGAUUAUGACCUCGAUGUUGGAUUAAGAUAAAAUUUAGAUGUAGAUGUUUAAUUAUGUUAGGUCUGUUCGACCUUUAAAAUCUUACA
rnacentral:rRNA from 1 species